AUUGAACGCUGGCGGCAGGCCUAACACAUGCAAGUCGAGCGAGCGGCGGACGGGUGAGUAAUGCCUGGGAAUUGCCCAGUAGAGGGGGAUAACAGUUGGAAACGACUGCUAAAACCGCAUACGAUCGGAUUGCCAAGGUGGGAGUAGCUAGUGGGUGAGGUAAUGGCUCACCAAGGCGACGGUCCCUAGCUGUUCUUAGGGGAUGAUCAGCCACACUGCAACUGAUACACGGUCCCGACGCCUCCGGGAGGCAGCAGUGGGGAAUAUUGCACAAUGGGGGAAACCCUGAUCCAGCCAGGCCGCGUGUGUGAAGAAGGCUUUCGGGUUUUAAAGCACUUUCAGCGAGGAGGCGUUACUCGCAGAAGAAGCACCGGCUGACUCCGUGCCAGCAGCCGCGGUAAUAC
rnacentral:rRNA from 1 species